UUCAGAGCAGCGGCAGAACGAGCUGCAGGUGUCUCUCACACAACCUCCUCUGUUUUGUUCUCAAUGUACAGGUAACUCUUUGAAGUGUUACUCCUGCUCAGCAUCAAUGGAAAGAUGCGUGGGUAAUACUGUUGACUGCUCUGCGACGCAGCAAUGCUACCUUGUGGUUACAGAGGCUGCUGGUGCAAAGGCUUACAGCGCUGGAUGUUUUCCCCUUGCUGAUUGUACAGUCAAGCAUAAUAUCGAAGGAAUUCUAGUCUCUGUCAAAUGCUGCACUACUAACCUCUGCAACGCGAGUGACCAAGUUAAAUUAUCUCUUCUGCUGUUCCCUGCUCUGGUCUCAGUCUGGUUUGCAAUAUUUAUGUGAAGCAAGUGCAUAAUAAUAAUGCACAGUGCAAUCUUCUGGAUGCUUUUUGUCUGAAG